rnacentral:rRNA from 1 species
UACGUAGGUGGCAAGCGUUGUCCGGAUUUACUGGGCGUAAAGAGCGCGCAGGCGGUCGGAUAAGUCGAAUGUGAAAGCCCCCGGCUCAACUGGGGAGGGUCAUUCGAUACUGUUCGACUCGAAGGCAGGAGAGGGAAGUGGAAUUCCCGGUGUAGUGGUGAAAUGCGCAGAUAUCAGGAAGAACACCCGUGGCGAAGGCGGUUCUCUGGGACGGUACUGACGCUGAGACGCGAAAGCGUGGGGAGCGAACAGG